rnacentral:tRNA from 2 species
GACUUAAUACUUUAAAUUAAAAGAUCUGAUUUGCAUUUAGAAAAUAAGUUAUAAAACUUUUAGGUCA